rnacentral:rRNA from 1 species
AACGAACGCUGGCGGCAUGCCUAACACAUGCAAGUCGAACGUGAUCCAUGACUUCGGUUGUGGUGAAAGUGGCAGACGGGUGAGUAACGCGUGGGAACCUGCCCAAUGGUAGGGAAUAACCGCGGGAAACUGCGGCUAAUACCCUAUGACCCCUGCGGGGGAAAGAUUUAUCGCCAUUGGAGGGGCCCGCGUCGGAUUAGGUAGUUGGUAGGGUAACGGCCUACCAAGCCAUCGAUCCGUAGCUGGUCUGAGAGGAUGAUCAGCCACACUGGGACUG